AUGAAGGCGCUCAUCCGCUAUCACCCUCCUGAGAGAUCACACCCCUGAGUCAGCACCUGUUGAACACCUGCCCCGGGACGCAUGGUCACCACAACCAUAACGGCCAAUAGCUCUGGAUCAUUUAUAUGAUCUUUCAGCAUCUACUCCAGCCAAUGAGGAUGGAACAACCUUGCCAGCAAAAUGUGAAACUGGAGGUCAUGUUUCCUCAGAUGUGAGUCCCAGUGAGAACCAAAGAGAGAAACGACACUGUUCAAAACCCAGCAGUACAACAUCAGUGAGACACAAAUCCAAGACUCACACUCAGUUGAUAAAAGAGAAGCUGGAUCAGAUCAAAGCUGAGAUUCAGAAGAUCUCUAAAGUCCACCUGCAUCAGUGCGCUGAGAGGUAAGUGACUGUUAAAUCUAUUCUCCAGCCCUAGUUUAGAAGAGUUAGAGUGCCAGAAGCAUAUUCUUGGAUAAUGAUUUCGACAACCUCUAAUACUGUAAAAAUGGACAGAAAAAAAGAUUGGUUUUCAUAUCACUGUAAAACCCUGUGGUUGGGAUUUACAGACAAAGAUGAUAAAACCAAUGGCGUUAUACAUACAUAUAACUGAAAGGGUUAGUUUGCCCAAAAAAUUUAA